CAAGUCGAACGGCAGCGCGGACUUCGGUCUGGCGGCGAGUGGCGAACGGGUGAGUAAUAUAUCGGAACGUACCCAGGAGUGGGGGAUAACGUAGCGAAAGUUACGCUAAUACCGCAUACGUCCUAAGGGAGAAAGCAGGGGAUCGCAAGACCUUGUGCUCAUGGAGCGGCCGAUAUCUGAUUAGCUAGUUGGUGGGGUAAAAGCCUACCAAGGCAACGAUCAGUAGCUGGUCUGAGAGGACGACCAGCCACACUGGAACUGAGACACGGUCCAGACUCCUACGGGAGGCAGCAGUGGGGAAUUUUGGACAAUGGGGGCAACCCUGAUCCAGCAAUGCCGCGUGAGUGAAGAAGGCCCUCGGGUUGUAAAGCUCUUUUGUCAGGGAAGAAAAGGUUGCGGCUAAUAUCCGCGACUCAUGACGGUACCUGAAGAAUAAGCACCGGCUAACUACGUGCCAGCAGCCGCGGUAAUACGUAGGGUGCAAGCGUUAAUCGGAAUUACUGGGCGUAAAGCGUGCGCAGGCGGUUUUGUAAGACUGUCGUGAAAUCCCCGGGCUUAACCUGGGAAUGGCGAUGGUGACUGCAAGGCUAGAGUUUGGCAGAGGGGGGUAGAAUUCCACGUGUAGCAGUGAAAUGCGUAGAUAUGUGGAGGAACACCGAUGGCGAAGGCAGCCCCCCUGGGUCAAAACUGACGCUCAUGCACGAAAGCGUGGGGAGCAAACAGGAUUAGAUACCCUGGUAGUCCACGCCCUAAACGAUGUCUACUAGUUGUCGGGUCUUAAUUGACUUGGUAACGCAGCUAACGCGUGAAGUAAACCGCCUGGGGAGUACGGUCGCAAGAUUAAACUCAAAGGAAUUGACGGGGACCCGCACAGCGGUGGA
rnacentral:rRNA from 1 species